GUAGGUUUUAGCUAACUUAGUCAAAACUAUUAAAGAUAAUUUUUCAAUUCAAGAAAAUUUUUAAUGGUUUUUAUAUAUCAAGCUCUGCCAUCACAUUAGGAAUACUGAAGUGUAGCAGUCUUUCUUCUGUGAAAAUGUGUUAACCUGAUAGCAGUAGACACUAUAUGUAAACGAUCAGUAUAGUGGCCUACCAUUGGUAACUUUAUUUCUUUUCUCUAAGUCAGUCUACUCUUUUGUUAUUGACAACCUAUUGGGCUUAACCAUUUUAUAAAUUUUCCUUUUUCUUUUUACAUUUAGGACAUAAUAUUUGUUAUGUGAUACUACUUUAACAGAUUGAUUUUGGCAUACGAAAUAUGGUGACUUUUUCAUAAUCACAUAGUCUGUUUACUUUUUCUAAUUAACAAACUGAUAAUUAUGUCUUCCUCCUUUCAGUUCUGUAAAGGUUUACUGAGUUAUUGCUAGACACUAUUUAGGGAAAAUAAAGAUGAAUACCAUUGACCAAGUUUUAAUCUAGUGAGAAAAUCUAUAAUUUGUAAAAAGCAAUAGCAGGAUAAUAAAAUAAUAGUUACUGAGUGCAGCGUUUGCUGUAUGCUACCAUUAUACUAAGUAAGCAAGGUAAUAUGUGUCAUCUCAUUUAAUUGUACCACAGCCCAGAUAGUACCAAGAUAUUUUUUGAAUCUUUUCUUCACUUCUUCAAUAUUUUUUCAUUUUGUCACCUUUUCUGAGAAACUUUCCUGUCCAAACCUAUCUAAAAUAUCAGCCUGUGUAAAUCUCAGUGAUUUUACUUUGUAUAUUUGCCUUCAAUGUACUACUUAUAUGACAUCAUAAGCCUAAUAACUUAUUUGCUUAUUGUUUCCCUUGCUAGAAUAAUAUUGAAAGGAAGAAUAAAUAAUGAGGAGUUUAGAGUUUUUAAAGUGUACUUUAAUUUAAUUCAUAACAUAACUUCUUGUAAGCUUAACUUUCUUUAUCUGUUCAUAGAUGUAUACUUAAUAGCUGUUUCAUAGGCUUUUUAAACUGUAUUCUUUCACUCAGUAAAUAUUCAUUGAUCUUUAAGUACUGUAUAUGGCAGGCACUAGUCUUAGGAAUGGGGAUAUAGUGAAAAGGACCAAGUCCCUGUGCUUAUGGUACUUCAUUCUAGUGGAGGAGACAGAUAGCAGAUAAAUAAUAUUGUAUAAAUCAACUAAUGACCACAUAAAUUUUCUCCAAGGUAUCUUUCCCCACCUUGCCUUUACAAUCUAAAUAUUUUUUAUCAGUUGCUAAUCAUUCUGUAUAUCUGUCAUUAGUGGUGGCUCUGAUCUUAAUCUUCACAUUUCUAAUAUUCAAUGUCUUUCCUUAAAUUUUGUAUUGCAAAAAAAAUGUAAUAGUGCCCAUUUAUACCGAAUAUAACAGCACUGCCAUUUUCGUUUCUUGUACCUCAUUUGUCUAUUAAUACACCCUAAAACUCAGGUAUAUAAAUUUGGUUUGUUGUUUCUUUGUUUUCCCUUUGCAAAGAUAUUGCAUAUGUAUAUUAAUGAUCUAGUAAAUUAAAAUCCUUUUUAUUUUAAGGGGUGUUUCACUGUAGAUAUAUACUGGCUUAUAAGAUUAGUGCAUGUUUGUAUGUUGCAUUUCCAUUAGUAAAACUGCUUUUGAGACUUUGGCUGAAUCUCUGUGGAGAUUGUUAGUAAAUAUGACAUCAAGGUCAUCACUGAGAUUUCAUAGCAUAUUUAGAGCAAUCAUUUUCCAAGGACAUAUAUAAUAUCAAACUCAAUUUUUAAUAGAAGAAUUGUUUCUAGUUACAUAUUUUAUAGUCAAACUCAUCAAUUUGUCUUCAAAGGCACCUUUAACAUGCUGCCUGAUCAACAGCUCCCAGUAUUAGUUUCAAUUCUGUAAUAUGCAAUGCAUUGGGUAGAAAGAAAUUUGGUAGUAACUGUCCCAUUCGAUGGGCAUUACUACCUCCAUGUCUGAAUAGGACUCUUCUAUUAGCUUUGCUGCUAAGACAGGAAAUAUAAAGCAAUGUUCUGAUAUCAGUAUUUAGGUUGGAUAUAUGUGCCACAUUUUACUGAAUACUUGUACUGCACAUGUACAUCCAAAUGUGUUAGCUUUUACUUUCUUUUAAAAAGUACUGAUAUUAACUGGCAUGUACAAACUCAACCAUCUACUCCUCAGAAACACGUGAUGGAACUGCAAAAUGUUUCCUUGACAGAUUUCUAAUUUUAAGUAUUUAUUUUUUAGAUACAUAAAAAGAAGUGUUAAGAAUUGCCCUUUGAGAGUCUGAAGGCUGAAGGUACAGAAGUACUAAAGAUGUACUCUUAAACCUCAUAUCUCAUCAGCUCUUUCUGAAGAGUACCAGAUAAAUUGCAGUCUGUGCCUCAUAGCUAAACAGGUAAGGAGUGGUUGAAGAUACGUUGCUGCAUUGUCUCAAACACUAGACAAAUGGGAAAAAGUUUGCACCUGUUUAAAAUCUCAGCCGUGUGGUGUUGUGGCUCCUGGGCAACAGGCAAGCAUUCUCAAAAGCUUGGUUGCACCUGCUCAAUUGUUGUUUGCAGCUGUGUCAUACGAGAACACAGAGAAGCUUGUUAGCAGUUUGCUUGUGCUGUUGUGUAUUUAUAUUUUGUGUACUCUGAAUUUGAAAGAUGCUUACUUAAUAUAGACCUUGAGCUGUUACAUUGGUGUAUGUUAAAACUGUCUGGUUUUAGCUCACAAUUAUUUUUUCCAAAUUCUUUUGUUUUUUGUUUCAAAUAUUUUAAAGUGCUGCUAACUGCCCUAGAUAAUGUGCAUACUAACUUCUCCAAAGGAUACCUGGGAGAGUAGAUCUCUCCAGAUAACUGUGUUGAUAAUAAUUUUUGUCCUAGUAGAGACAUUUUGCAUUUGGCUCAUUUUCACCAUGUUGGCAGCCCCACUAUGUGAGGCUGGAUGUAGUUAUUGAUCCAUUUAGCUGAACAGAUUUGAAAGCAUUUGGCUAUUAGUGGACACAUGCGGCAUAUUCAGAAAAUUUAAGAGUAUACUGUAAGAUGAUUUCUUGAUUUGUGCGUGGGUCUGUGUUGCGGUUGGGCUGGAUAAAAAAAAUGAAAAUUAAAUAGUAAUCCUAGAAGACAGACCACAAUCCAGAUGUAGGUUUUAAGGCUAUACUCUUAUCCUUAAAUCAAAUGCUAGAUACCUGAUGUUUUUUUUUUCCCUAAGUCUUACUGAUAGUGAUAUUAUGUUUCUUCUCAUUAAUGGCUUCAUAUAUAAUCUCUGACAAAUAUCUGUAUUUUGAUAUAGACAGUUGUAAACUGUGUAUUUCACAAGUGAAGUAAAGUUAUCUUAAUGUAACAAAUCUGAUAUAAAUGUAAUUUAUUUAUUCACUGGUCCCAAAUUCUUGAUAUUAAAAGUUUGUUCAGAUGGCUUGCAUUCUCUUUAAUAUAUAAACAAUGUUUUAUUAUGUCAAACAUAUAUUAAAAUGUUAAGGAGUUUCCAUUAGUGUUUAGUAAUGUAAAUCUUUAGUCUUGGAGCUGGUUUAUCUUUUUCUUUUAUUGGACCAUUUGGAAACUGUAAAAAAAAAUAUGAAUUUUUCUAACCUCUUUUGGAAUACAAAACAUAACUACAAAAGUAAAUAGAAGGUUGGCCGUAGCCCCUUAAAACAGUGCCUUAUACAUAGUAUUUGACCAAUAAAUGUUGAAUGAAUGCAUGUAUGAAUAAAGCAUUUCUGGAGUUGUUUUAGAAAUUGAGGGAUAGUGUCCUCCAUAUAUAAUACUUGUUAUAUAGUUUGGAUGAACCUUGAUAGACUUAUGCUGCUGGUUAGAAAGAAAUGAAAAUAAUGACAAAUUCUCUUUGUAAAAUAUGAUUUUAAUAAAUAAUUUGAACUUCAUUAUUAGAGAUCAAAUUAUUAGAGAGUUUAAAAUACCAAUAUUUGCUUUAUCCUCAUUUAACUAUGAUAACAGUUCUUUUAUUAUCCAUAUUACACACACAAGGUUGAGACAUUAAUGGUUAAGUUAUUUGUCAUCUUGGAAACUCCAAUGUAGCAUAGGGAUAAACAAAUCUGUGCUGUAUGAUUAAUGCCUUAACCUUCCUGAGCACUCACUAUGCUCUCUCUCUCCCUAUCUCCAUCUCACUAAAAAGACGAAAAGAAAAUGUGUGUUGACCUUUGGGUCAGGUAAAAUCAGAACAUAUGAAAAAAAUUGAGGCUGUUUUAAUAAGCAGAAUAGUGGACUCUAUUUACUGUACAGAACAUGUUUAUAAUUAUGGUUUUGAUUACUUACUAAGUUCCAACUAUAAAUGCAUGAAGUCAAGCAAAAAUAGAGUCAAAAUAGAGAAGCUAAAUUCUGCUUUGGAUAGGCCCUUCAAAGUUCCAUUUCUUCAUGGUGUGAUGUAUUCACAUAGGAAUGGCUCAUGUUGCAAAAUGAGCUAAUAAUUAUUGCAUCAAAAUGUCUUAUUUAGGCUUUUCAAAUUUUGGUACCUCUUGAUAAUAUUCACGAGUACCUUUAGACUUAUAAGUACCUUUCGUUUGGAACAAUUUUUCUUUUAUUUCAAUUUGUGUCAGUGGGAAAAGACAAAUAACAUGGGCAUCAUGUUUUCCCUCAUGAACUUUAGUAUGGUAGAUUAUACUGUAUUAUUCUGUUAGUAUCAACAUUAGAAAUUAAGAAACGAGCCAAGAAUGUGUACUAGCUAGAAUAUUAAUGAUUAAACUCAACAGAUAUUAGCAGUUGCUUCAGUGGUCUGUAUAGGAAUUAAUAUAUGAAAUCUCAAGGAUAAAUUUCCAAGCCCUAGGAUUCCUAGGCAUAAUUGCAAGGUUUCCUGUGAUUUCAGGAUUAAAGAAAUAAAGGAAGAAAAUCCACAUUUAAUCAGAACAUAGCAUGCCUAAAUGUACUUUUUUCUUUUCUCCUCACAUCACCUCCUCCUUUCCUAAUUUCUUUUCUUUGUUUUAUUCUACAGGUAAAGUAAAUGUCUACUAUUUACUAGACAUAGUGAUAGACUAAAGGCAUAAAACAAAAUCCUUGUUCUCAAAGAUCAUACAAGCUAGAGGGAGACAAAGAUAGGUUGUCGUGAUGACUAUACAAGUAUUAUGAAUAUAUCUGAGCAAUGAAUUGUACAGCUCAAAAGGGGUAAGAUAGUAAAUUUUAUGUUAUGUGUAUUCUACCACAAUAAAAAUGUGGGUAAAUUAUAAAAAGGAACACAUGAAAGUCUUUUAAAUUUCACACAUUUACAUAUGAUUUUAAAAAUCUUUCCUAAAUCCCUAAAAGCAGAGGUGACUCUGGACAAAAUCUCUGAGACAAUCUAUGCAACAAUCAAUUUCUCUCUCAGUGCAUACUUGGGUUCCUUCCAUAUUUUAGUUAUGCAUAAUUCUACUAUGCUCACAAAUAUAUGCUAUCUCCUUGAGAACCUACUGUUAGUUUUUUAAAAAUUUUUUUGGAGUAUAUACGUAGAAGUGAAAUUGCUGGAUCAUAUAGUAAUUUUAUUUCUCAUGUAUUCUUUUAAUGAGAUUACAAUCUCUUGUAAUGAGAUUACAAAUUGAUUGACUUCUUUUAGUUUGUAUUUGUGGAUGGAUUUGAUCUCUUCAGACUUCACAAGGAGAAUAAGAUAAGUCAAUUUCAGCAAGAAUACCAUUCAUGUGAGUUUAGAUGCUUUAAAGGACUCUGGAAUAUCUUAAAUAAAUCAGCAUUUUAGAAACCAGAGAUGCUAUCAGGGUAUCCAAAUUCUGAAUCUCUUACUCAUGUUUGAAUAUAGGAGUUUUGAAUUCUAACUGACCAUUGAAAUCUCAGUUCCACAAUUCAGUAUAUGUUUGAACUUAUCAAGGUUAACUAAGCUUAGAUAUGGUAGUGACAAUUUCUACCUGUAUAGUGAUAAAUAUGAAGAUUGAAAUAGAUGUAUGAGUGAAAUGCUGUAUUAGGCAUACAAUAUCUACUACUAUUUCCUACAUAUUUUUUCUCUCUUCUUGUAAAAAUAUAAAGUUACGAUGAGCAGUAUAGGAAUUUGAAGGAAAAAUGGAAUUCAUCUUUUAUAAAUAAAGUUAAUUUUUACAGCAUUAUUACUCUGUUAGAUGUUGAGUAUAUUGGUUCAGCUCAGUUAGAUUCACAAUUCCUAACUGUGCUUGAUACUUGAGGUUGGGAUAACUGCAUUCAUUAUAAUGUCUAUUGAUUAUAGAAGCAUGUCUUGCAAUGAAAGGCAUGUUGAUACAACUCAAGGCAACUCUCACCCAUCUUUUGAAGGUACGAUAUUCUUAAAAUCAGUCUCAAAAACAUGAACUACAUAUUUGCCAGUAUGCUCUCACAGGCAUCAUGGCAAACUAAAGAUGGCUCUCUUGGCAAGGUUGACUCAAUCUAAGCAGACUCAAGUUUAGUGAGCCUAGCUAUCGAUGUUAGUAGAUGGCUGUGUUAAAUUACUUUUUUGUUAUUCAGAAGGAAAUUAAUGUGGUAAAAUGCCCUGAUUCUCUCCAAUGCAAACUCUGAGCAGUAGAAAGGAUUUGUGAAUUGAUAUAUAUGAAUUUUCCUUAAUUAUCUUUAAUUAAAAAUUAGAUGAUCUUAAUUACAAUCAAUCAUUUUCCUCCACUAGGCUGUUGGUAUUUAAGCAAUACUAUUUUCCUGAACAGCAAUCAGAAAAAAUGUUUCUUUAAAAAAAGGGGAAAACACUAGAUAAUAUAUAUAAUUUACCAUUACUCAGCGCACAUAAUAAAGUGUCUGAUGUUGACUGUAAAGUUUUGACUUUGAUGAACAGAGAGGUAAGUACUGACAAUUAUUGAAACUUUUAUUGAGAUGGAUGUCAGUUUGCUAAUUGUUAUACCAAAGUACCAUGAACUUGGUGUCUGAGACAGAAAUUUUUUUGUCUUACAGUUUAGAAGUGUGAUAUCAAGGUUUUUGAGAAGAGUUGGUUUCCUCUGAUAGCUCUGGGGGACAGAUACGUUCUGGGCCUCACUCUUUAGAUAUAGAUGGCCCUUGUUUCUCUGUAUCUCUUCACAUUUUCUUUCCUCUGUGAGUGUCUAUCUUGGUGUCCAAGUUUCUCUCUUUUUUUAUAAGGACAUCAGUCAUUUUAUUUUAAGGCUCACACUAAUGAACUCAUUUUAACCUGAUUACUUAUGUAAAGACCCCUCUAUCUCCAAAUAAAAUAACAUUUUGUGGUUGAAGGAGUUUUGAAUUCUAACUGACCAUUGAAAUCUCAGUUCCACAAUUCAGUAUAUGUUUGAUCUUAUCAAGGUUAACUAAGCUUACUAAGCCUCAAGUGUUCCUAUUUAUGAUAUGGUAGUGUCAAUUUCUACCUUUAUAGUGACGAAUAUGAAGAUUGAAAUAGAUAUAUGAGUGAAAUGCUGUAUUAGGCAUACAAUAUCUACUACUAUUUCCUACAUAUUUUUUAGGACUCUUAACAUAUGUUUGGAGAGGGAGACAUAAUUUAACUCAUACUAGAUGGGUUAAUGGUUAAUAUUUGAAUGAUAUGUAUUCCAGGACACUCAUAUAUAUAUAUAUACAUAUGUGUGUGUAUGUGUGUGUGUGUGUGUGUGUGUGUGUUGUAGAAAUAUAUGCUUACAACAAUCUUUUUUUUUGUUUUUUUGGGUUUUUUUGGUACCAGGGAUCGAACUCGGGUCCUUGCGCUUGCGCAGCAGGUGGCAAAAGCACUGAGCUAAAUCCCCGGCCCGAUUACAACAAUCUUGUUAGGUAGACAUUAUGUAACAGGUGGUAAAAUAAAGGAUAAACCAUUUUGUCCAAAUUCACGCAGCUAAUGAAUAUUAAUUGCUGGCAUUUGAAACCAGCAUUCCACACUAUUUUUAAGGGGAUAUGCUUCAUAACAAGUCAGUCAAAAGCCUCAAAUUACUUUGAACACUGAAGGUUGUGUUCUGAUUUUGUUUUGUUUUGCCCUUCGUAUUGUGCCAAAGGGCAUUUUAACCACUAAAAAUGGUACAUUGUGUUAUUGUAUACAUGCUCAAUCAUUGAAUGUCUACAUAUUCACUCCUCAUUUUUUUUUGCUGACUGUUGUCUUUGAAAGCUUAGUGUUUUAGCUGUCCUGUACCUGAUGAAGCUUUGGGAAAGGUUGGAUUCUGAUGGUAGUCUGCCUGGGUUGCGUCUGGCCCCCAUUUGUGUGGAUGCGGAUGGAACUGAGAACCAAGUCAUACCUAGGUUUGUUAUUUAGCACCUGUGCUUCCCCUGCCUUAUUUUUGUUACUAGGUAACUUGUGACUUUUUGUUUUAUACAGUCCCUGCCAUGAGUGACAGACAUUGAAAGGGGAUGGAUGUGAGUGACAGAACAGGGACUAUCUCUGCUUACAUCAAAUAGAUGUAUACCGUAACCUGGCUACAGCCUUAUUGUUACUCACACUAAGAAACAUGGAAGAUUAUGUACCUCAUUUAAGUUUCCCAUCUUAACAAAGAAAACAUUUUCUUUUUCACUUUCAUGUUUUAAAGCAAAAAAUAGCUCAUGACCCAUUUUCACUAAUAAUUCUCUUAAGUAACCCUUGUAUUCAUUUAUAAGAUUUUUUUCUCACCCACUGUCUGUCUAGUUUGGUUUAAAAUUUUUAUAUAUGUACUUUUAAAAAAUUGAUUAGGUGGAGAGCUGCCCAUUCCUCUGUGAUUAUAAUAAGGAUUUAAAAACUGUGCACUGAAUUCUGUGUAGUGUAAUUAAAACUGACCCACAUUUGGACCUGAGUACACCAGGACGUAGCCAAACUUGCCAUGAGCUGAGUUCUGGUGGCAGAUGGGAACUAAUGAGGACACACUCCACUCCAGAAUUUCCCAGCUGCUUGGCCCCUUUUUGUACAAACAAGGUUUGGAGCGAAGUCCGGAUCCCAAGAGCAUGUUUUGUAAAUGUGCUGUACCCAGUGAUUUGGGAAAUGUCUCACAAAAUUAGACUGUUUAAAGCUAUCCUUAAGACUUCAACUGUUGUCCAAUGUAAAACAUAAAAAUUCAAAGGCUCCUUUUUUGUUUUUUCCAGCCAUUUAAAAAAUUUAAAGAAAAAUCACAUCCUAUGCGUCUGUCUUUUUCCUAUGCCUGCCUAUGGAAUGAGCACUUUUAUAAAAACCUGGAGAUUUGCAGGCAGUUAUCUUGGGGACAGUUGUACAUCAGGAUUGACUAGGUCUGCUUGCAACCUAUGGAUCUCUUCAACUGGUUUGAUGUCCUGGGACUAUUCAGGCAGCUGUAAUUGAAUCAGUUUGAAGCAGCUGUAGCUUGCAUGUGGUCUCUCAGAUUGCUAGCACCUGCUUGUUUUUUUUGUUUUGUUUUGUUUUGUUUUUUUCCCCCAGCUCACUACAGAGAGAGAAGUGCCAAAACCACCACUGGUCUUGGUCUUGGAGCAAAAUAAAGCACUCCAGAUCUUAUGUCCCAUUCCCCUUCCAGCUUACUCAUAUAGUUACUGAUGCCUGAAUUAAUAAAACCCCUUUUUAUGAUAAAGUUUGAAGUGUACUUUUCCUCUUUAUUCUUCUCAGUAUCUAUUCAGAUUCUGAUAGUACUGACCAUGCAUCCAGAAAAAAUAAGGGAGCAUAAUGGUGAUCAGGUGGCUUUGGGGCUCUCUUAUCAUUAGAGAACUGGGUAGCCUGUGGUUUGCAGAAUCAUUUAAAUGAAUGCACCAAAUUCAUUUGCUGUUCCAGCACAGUCUUAUUGGCACAGAAAAUGAUCAGUUAAUGUAUAACAAACUGUGAGCUCUUAUGGAAUAUGAUAAAUACACAUUCUUAGGGGGAGUGUAAAAUGGAACUAUUUCUCUAAUGUGAGCUCUAAAAUAAUUGAUAUGAUUUCUUCAACACUUACUAUGUGCAAAACAUACAAUAUGGUAAGGUAGGGAUAAAAAUUCUAUGACAUAAAUAUGUAGGAUAUAUUUUAAAGAUACAGAUUUGUAACUUUUUAAAAAUGUUUAAAUAUAUUUUAAAACACUUUUUAACCUUAUUUUUGUGUUCCAUUUUAUUAUUUUCCAGGCAUAUACUUAACCCUUAAUAUUAUUGCUAUCCUGUGUUUAAUUUGAAAUGUGAUGAAAAAGUCAAC
rnacentral:lncRNA from 1 species